GACUGUUAUGUAAAGUAGGUGUUGACUCCCCUGUUCUGAACCACCAGCAUCAUGCAGUCAGAAAGGCCCUCAAAGGUCACAGUCACAGGCCAUUGCCUGCAAUACACUACUACGCUGUCCCUGAUAGGUGGACAUCCAGCCUCUACCACACUACAACUAUAGUGAAAGCUGUGUGCUUCUGAAUACCAGUUUCUGGAAACCACAGGAAGGGAGAGUAGCCUAGUGCUCAGGUCCUGCUUGUGAGCUUCCCAUGAACAUCUGAUUGGCCAUUGUGAGAACAGGAAACUGGAUUAGAUGAGCCAUUCGCCUGGUCCAGCAGGACUCUUGUGAUCUUAUGACCAGCCAAGGAAAAGGGGAAUCCGUUGGAACUGACAUACCAGUUGUCUGUGCCCAGGUCACGUUCCUGUAUGUGCCUGUGUCAUUCCUAGCAAGAAGGCUGGGCGGCUUCUUUUCUUCUGGCUGGGCUUCUGUGACACUUAAAAGAAAACACGAGGCAAUUCAGCAAGGGUAGUGCUAAUCUUUGUUCAUCUUCAUGCCGGAAAACACUUGCUGAAAUUCUGCUUGAUGUGUGGCUGUUCAAGAAGGAGUUAUAGUAAAAAUGAAAUA